rnacentral:rRNA from 1 species
UACGUAGGGUGCAAGCGUUAAUCGGAAUUAGCUGGCGUAAGCGUGCGCAGGCGGUUUGUAAGUCUGUCGUGAAAGCCCGGGCUCAACCUGGGAAUUGCGAUGGAGACUGCAAGGCUUGAAUCUGGCAGAGGGGGGUAGAAUUCCACGUGUAGCAGUGAAAUGCGUAGAGAUGUGGAGGAACACCGAUGGCGAAGGCAGCCCCUGGGUCAAGAUUGACGCUCGAUGACACGAAAGC